AGCAGAAGUGUAUCUUCAAUGAAGAACAAAAUGAACAGGAGGGUGUGCUUUUAAAACACACUCUCCAGGGAACAGGAAGAAAUUCCCCCACAAAAAACCUGGGAAGAAUUAGGAGGAACAUGAUCCAACCAUGAUCUGAGACACUGUGCUUUAAAUUUGCAUUACAGGAAGAACUAUUCUCAGUAUAAAACUACCUUUAAAUGACCUAGAGCAAAGCAAUCUUCCUCCACUGAGAAAUUCUGAUUCAAUCUGUAAUUCACCCUCUAUGUAAGCAUACAACAGACCUGAACUGUUUCCUGGUUUAAUAUUUUUCCUGUUCUAACAUUUUUUGGACUAAUACUAAAAAAGGGUUUAUAGAAAGCUGCUUACCCUAGAUCUUGGUGUUUAAGGACACGGUCUGACACAUCUUUGCAAGCGAAGACAGAAGUCGAGCCAAUUUCAUAAGACUAAAAUUUACCACAUAUCAACAUCCCUUUACAUUCUAUGAACGAAUGGGAACUGUCUCUUAAAUGUGUGUAGCAAAUAAAAGCUUAAGUCAGUCCAACUUGAAUUUUGCAGCCAAAUGGCAAUAUCCCCAAAUACAAUCCCCCCUUAAUUUAUCAAGACAAGAGUUCUGAAACCAAAGAGGUGAGUACUACAGCAUAGAAACAAAGUACAGUGGAACCAAUACCGUAUUAGGGGAAAAGAAGUUAGUAUGUUCUGGUAAACAUGGUGGAUGAU